rnacentral:rRNA from 1 species
UACGAAGGGGGCUAGCGUUGUUCGGAAUUACUGGGCGUAAAGGGCGCGUAGGCGGCGACCCAAGUCAGAUGUGAAAGUCCUGGGCUUAACCUGGGGACUGCAUUUGAUACUGGGUUGCUUAAAUGCAGGAGAGGAUAGCGGAAUUCCCAGUGUAGAGGUGAAAUUCGUAGAUAUUGGGAAGAACACCGGUGGCGAAGGCGGCUAUCUGGACUGUGAUUGACGCUGAGGCGCGAAAGCGUGGGGAGCAAACAGG